GAUAACUAUGGAACUCUUGUAGAGCUUGUUUCCGGAUGUAACCAGGCUUUGCAACUCCAUAUUUAUUGGUGUACUUGAGAUUAACUCAGAUAUUUCAUGAAAGCCCUUUGACCGAUUACACAGGACUUCAAAACAAAUCUGCUGGUGCAAAGCAAACUGGGAGAGAAAACAAACGAGCAGCCCAGACCCAGAAAUUAGUGUGCCUUUGGACAGAGAGGGAGAAAGUUGAACAGAUUCACCAAAGCAGAGGUAUAGCCAUUUUUUUUAACUUGCAUCGGUGAAUCAAUUUUCCAUAUUUUUUUAUCUGCAGAGGUUCUGGGUUUCUCACCCACAUGGAUUUUUACAUCCAAAUAUUGUCGGGGUUACUCACCCAUAUGGAUUUUUACAUCCAAAUGAUUUCGGGGUUACUCACCCAUGGAUUUGCAUCCAAAUAUUUUCGGGGUUGCUCACCCAUGGAUUUGCAUCCAUAUAAUUUUUUUGGGUUUCUAACCCAUCGAUUUGUGGCAUGCUAUGCCCAACAUAGGAAAGGAAAAUCAAGAUGAUCGACUACCUGUAGAACUUUUCUUCUGCUCUCAGUUCUCCUGCAGUCUCCUUUUUUUUAUCUGUCGUUGGCUCCUCUUUCUUUUUUCCUUUUUCUGUUGUUGCCUUUUUAUAGGCCAACUAGAUAAGACUCC